CCUACGGGUGGCAGCAGUGGGGAAUAUUGGACAAUGGGCGAAAGCCUGAUCCAGCCAUGCCGCGUGUGUGAAGAAGGCCUUCGGGUUGUAAAGCACUUUCAGUGGGGAAGAAAGCCUUGGGGCUAAUACCCUCGAGGAAGGACAUCACCCACAGAAGAAGCACCGGCUAACUCCGUGCCAGCAGCCGCGGUAAUACGGAGGGUGCGAGCGUUAAUCGGAAUUACUGGGCGUAAAGCGCGCGUAGGCGGUCUGAUAAGCCGGUUGUGAAAGCCCCGGGCUCAACCUGGGAACGGCAUCCGGAACUGUCAGGCUAGAGUGCAGGAGAGGAAGGUAGAAUUCCCGGUGUAGCGGUGAAAUGCGUAGAUAUCGGGAGGAAUACCAGUGGCGAAGGCGGCCUUCUGGACUGACACUGACGCUGAGGUGCGAAAGCGUGGGUAGCAAACAGGAUUAGAUACCCGAGUAGUC
rnacentral:rRNA from 1 species